rnacentral:lncRNA from 1 species
AGAAGGUGACAACUAAAAGUAAUGGUCAUGCCCCUCCAUCAACUAGGUUAAUGGUCUACGGGUAUGUAUAUAUUGCUCUGAGUUUCUGCUUAUUGUUCUGUACCCAAUGUUCAGUUCUAUAUCGGGUAUGUUGCCCUUCUACUGUUUGACAAAAUGCCUGUAUAAGUUUUUUUUUUAUUGUGUCUAAAUUUUCUUUGAUAUGGACUCUUUUUUUGGGACGUGGACUUGAGAACAAUUUUGAGAACUUGAAUCUCAUAUAUAUUUAUGAGGAAUGAGCACUAAAAGAGUAGCAUGAACAUAUUUUCGUUUACAAGAUACUAAUACCAUCACCCCGAUAACCAAAUCAGUUAAGAACAUAUAUGAGAAGGAUUUGUAAAUCUCUAUAAAAUUAUAGGCUUUGAGUGAAUGUCAAAUUUUUCUGAUGAGGACAGUUGAGGCUCCUAAAUAAGAUGAAGAACAGCCUAUAUUAGCAUUCUGUUAAGGAAAUAUUAGUCAUAAUUAAGAAGUGGGUUAAAUUCUUUUGAACAUAAAAAUAGAGAAAUUAAACCUUAAACUGGCACACAUACAUACCUGUGGUGGCUGGCCUAGUCUUUCUUGAGCUUCUGUGAUUUUUUUGCGCAUAGAUUUCAGUAAGCGUCCGUACGUUAAUUUAGGUUCAUUUGUCAACGUUUGGAUGAAACUGUAAGUUAGUGCACCGGCUGAAUUACCUGUGAAAGCCUGUGCAAGUAAUGUAAUAUCUAAUCAACUACCACUAUUUUAAUAAUUGAUAAAUGUGAUAUUUACUUGUAUUUAUCAAGCAUCAUUCUUCUUUUUCUUCACUUAAGGAGAGCAAUAGAAAAGAAAACGGUGUGCGAUAUUAAUGAAUUAAUCUCCUCAGUGCAUGUGUUCUGAAUUUUUCUGUGAAUAACCUCAACAUUAUAACAAAUACCCCCUUCAUGUGUGUUUUAUGAAAUAUCAAUAUAUAUAAUUAGGAGCAAAAGGCAUAUAAGGACUAACUGUCGUGUCCCCAGACUUUUGAUGAUCAUCACAAGCACUAAUUGAGACUGCUAUUCCCCCACUGGCUCCUUUGUAUUCAGCAUACUGGAUACGCUGAUCUUCCCAUGUAGUUUCUCCUUUCCUGAUUAAGACGACAAUCUUUUUGUUAUAGAAGUAGUACCAAUCAAGAUACGCUUUCUGACUGUAUUUCUUCACCAUGUUAAGUGAUCGGUGAAGUUUAGCUGAAAUGUUUUAAGAACACAAAUGCAAAUUGAGGAGGAGCUUAUAAAAGCCUACUAAUCCAUGUCCUUAAGUACUAUUCCUCUGUCCCUAAAAAAUGGUUCUAUUUUUUGGGAUGCGUGGAAUGCAUUUCGUGGUGUACCAAAUAUACACUUGCAUAAUUUUUGUUUGAUAUAUUAUGGAGUGAAAUGGAAUAUAUAUAUAAAAAAAAUCAUUUAUGAAUAUGGUUUUCAAAAGGACACAGUCAAACUGGUUCUACGCACACAUAAAGAGGACCUUUUUCAGGAUUGGAGGGAGUAUUAGUGAAGAAAUUACUAACCUGUUCAUUCUACACAUAAAAGGUAGAUCUAUAAUACUUCCACUGAAGCAGGUGUCAAUGAUGGCAUGAAGUUUGGCUCCUUGACGUAGCGGGCGGACAGUUAAGGCAUUAAUCUCGUCAUCUGUUAUCUUCCCGGCAGUCUUAUAGUCAACAGGGCAUAGCACCUCAUCAAAACCAUCAAUCUCGUCCCCAUCAAAGUCGCGCUCUCUUGAGCCAUGUCCCGAGUAGUAAAACACUAGUGAGUCCCCUGGUUGACAGCCUUCAACAAGCCAACUUAAGGCCAUCUGCAUGUUACCCUUAGUUGGGAUCCGAGAGGGGUCCGUUUCAUCUUCUACAGAUUAAUAAUAUUUGUCACAAAAUUAGAACUCAUGUAUAGAAAUCCUUAAUUAGUACACUACAAAAAAACAGGUCAUUGGCGACGGCAGUAUCCCCGUCGCCAAUAACCUCCUUCUCGACGGCAUAGCCGUCGCCAAUGGUCCCCGGCGAGAAUGACCCUUCCCGGGCCUAAAUUUGGUGGGAAUUUUUUGGCGGGUGUGGGAAAAGGGCAUUGGCGACGGCCUUUGCCGUCGGUAGUGAGUGUCGUCGAGAAUGGGUUUAUAUUUACUUUCAGUAACUUAAAUUUUUUCAUUUUUGCUAUUCCUUUUUCUCCCUCUUCUUCCUCGCGUUGUCACCGGCUUCCCUUUCCCGUCGCCCACUGGCCUUUUCUUGUUGUCGCCGUCCUCUCUUGCCGUCGCCGUCUCUCUUCCCGUCGUCGUCACUCUCUGUCUCUCUCGAUUGCAAGGUAACAUCUUCCCAAUUUCAAUUUUCCCCCAAAUAUAACUUAAUAAUCCCUUCUUCUACAAUUUCACUCUAUUUUCUCCAAAUAUCAAUUGCAGUGUAUUACUAUUUCAAAUGUUUGCAAGUUUACAUGAAAAUUUUAAUGUGUACAGAUAUCCAAUUAUAUUGCAGUGCAAUUUUACUCCACACGAACUAUUUGGUUUGAUGAAUCAAUCUCUCUACUAUAUUUUGUAUUCAUCGUGACCUUUUCUUAUAUUUAACUUUCAACAUUUCAAUCGAUUCUUGUCUAGUACAGAUCAAGUAUGAAUGAGUGCAUCCAAGCUAUUUGUAAUAAACUACUAUAUUGUUAUACCUUGAUAAUGAGUUUUUAUUAAAUUUUAAUGUGUUCAAGUGUUUUAAGGAGAGUAGACAAUACCAGUAAGGAGAAUGAUGGAUGAAUCUGGAAAUCUCAUGCUACGAACCAGAAAAUCCUUCAUAGAUAUGGCGUCGUUAAUGCUGCCGUCAAGGCUACUCUUUUGGCCACGGUAGCUCACACCGCAUAUCACUGCCCGCUUCCUUCCGUACUUCGGAGGAUUUGAUACCUGUGGUGAUAUUUGCACAUGAGGUGAAGAUAUACGUGGUGAUUGUUGUGAUGGUUGCUGAUGAUAACUGUUCACUCUAGCCGGAGGAGGCGAUACCUCUUGUACUGCUGAUUGCAAGGAUGCUUGUGGUGGCGUUCUGAAUGGUUGUUGGUAGUAGCCAUUACUAUCCACCCGAGGUGGUGACACAUGUGGUGAUGGCACAUGUGUCAAAGCUUGUGAUGGUUGUUGAUGGUAACCGUUAGUAUACACCCAAGGUGAUGACCCAUGUGGUGGUGGUUGAACUUGCGCUGUUGACACCUGGGGUGAAGUUUGUAAUGGUUGUUGGUAAUAACCAUUACUUUGCACCCAAGGUGGUGACACAUGUGAUGAUGGUCGUGGCGAUGAUGAUGAAAGAUGUGAUGGUGCUUGUGAUAGUUGUUGGUAAUAAUCGUGAAUAUACUCUGAAGGAGGUGAAUCUUGUUCAUAAUAACCACUAUUAUGUGUUGGACGAGGUGAUGUUUGUGGUUGUUGGUAAUAAUCUUCACUGUCCAUCGGACGAAGGGAUGACUGUGGUGAUGAUGCUUGAAACGGCUGUUGGUAAUAACCGUUACUAUGUUACUAUGUGGUGGACGAGGUGAGCCCUGUGGUGGUGAUGUUUGCAUUGGUGGUCGAAAAACACUGUUAGUUCUCAAUGGACGAGGUGAACGUUGAGGUGGUGUUACCUCUGGUUGAUAAUAAUCAUUGGUAUAAGUUGGACGAGGUGAUCCUUGUGGCGACAAUGUUUGUGGUGGUUGCUGGUAAUAAUUACUAUUACCAUGCGCUGGACGUGGUGAUCCAUGUGGUGAUGAUGUUUGUGGUGCUUGCUGAUAAUAAGAAUUACCAUGAACUGGAUGAGGUGAGCCAUGUGGUGAUGAUGUUUGUGGUGGUUGCUGAUAAUAAGUUUUAGUUCUCACUGGAAGAAGUGAUUCUAAUGGUAAGGGCUGAUCAUAGUAAACAUUAUUAGGAGGAUUAGGAGGAGGAGGUGGUGGUUGAUAGUAGCCAUGACCAAUCACCCCACGAGGUGAUAACUGUUGUGGACCUUGUGGGGAUGCAUGUAGUGGUGGUUGUCUUUGAGGUGGUGAUGGAAAUGGACCUUGAUGAUAACGGUUAUUCGCAUUCAUGUUGCCAGGAGGUCCAUUUGCAUAAUUAAUAUACUGGCUGGUUGACGGGCGACCAUAGCUGUUGAUAUUCCGGCAUACCGGACACACCACUGUUUGUGCCUCAAGGGGCAUCCUCAGUUCUGCUCCACAGACGUUGCAUAGCUUUCUUAUAGUUGACAUCUUUCUAACUUGUGACCUCCUAAGAAGGGAAAGGCCAAGCUAAAUGGAUUCACGGAAAGUGGAUGUAAGAGGGAGUUGAAUGUUUUUGGUGAGUUUUUAAGUUUGCUCUUUGUGCAAUAUAUAUAUAUAUUUAGAGAGAGAGAAUUUAGUACUGGUGUAUCAUACCCAUAGGAUAGGAUGCUACAUUCAAGAGAAUUUCCCCUUUUUCAGAUAUGGGUAUAUCGUGAGUAGACCCUUAUAUAUUACGUGAUCGAUUUGAAAUUGAUGUGGCUCAAAAGGGGUAGGAAUAGAUUGAAACUAACAUGGGUAACAGUAAUUGAAAAAGAAAUGCAAUAUAUAAAAAUAACUGAGAAUAUGACUUGAACAGAAUUAGUGUAACCAAACCAAACUAGUUUGGCGCUAAGACUUAGGUGAGUAGAUACACAUCUACUUAUAUAAGAACAUUAUAUCCAUAUAGCUUUAUUCCAUCAACCAAGUUGGUGAGUGUGUGAAGAAUCUGAUUCAGUCUUUCUAGUCCUUUCGGUUCACUCCUUUUGUAUUGAGUUGAUAGAACAUUUUUCUGGAUUGGCUUCUCUAGAAUGAUUACCAAAAAGUGGGAUGGGGUUGAAUGAUUUCUUUAGAAGCAGAGAAGGAGAUAAAAGAUACAAAAGCACAGAUAAAAGCUUAAAUGAUACUUAUAUUGUGAUGGCUUUCAUUAAUUGGAUCGAUUUAACAGAUCCAAUUACUAAAAUGAUCCAGACAACUGUGUGUGUCACGCUUUAAAGUAAAGGGUUGGUAGUUUCACAGCCUUGUUAUUUUUCCUGACCAGAUAACAGGGAUCAUUUCCCACUUGUUCUUUGUUUCUUUCCUUCUCUUUCAUUUUUGCCUCUUGUUCUUUGCAUGCUACAAUUUUUCUGAAUUAAAGGGGAAUCUGAAGACUAAAAUGGACUGUGGUGAACCAGAUUUAGAAUAUAGAGGUUGCUGGUAAAGGGAUAACUUACUUUAUUUAUAGCUAUUUCAAGGACGCUAGUUUUUCAGCUUGUGGUAUACAUUUUGUGGAAAGAAGGAACAAUACUUGUCUAGGAGAAUUCAACUGGAAUCACAUGACCUGAUAGCUUGAAAUUAUUUCUAUAGUCAAGAUGAAAUUGUGCGUUGGUUUGGUUGCAUGGAAUUUUGUCUUUGUUCGAAUUGUACAGUUUAGUUUUGUUUUGUGUAUGCUGGCUCUUUGUUGUAUAUGCUCUUCUGUAUCGUCCUUUGUGUUGCAAUAAAAUUUGAAUUACGACAGAAAAUGUAUAUAUUUGCAUGUUUGCCAAUUUAAGCACAAAUUGGAGGUAAUAGGUAUCCUAAAGUCAGAUCAAAAUCCUAAUUAACACAGCAUAUUUAUGGUUAAGAAUCAAGCAUUCAAGGUUCUAUUGAAUAGCAAGACGCAAGCUUAAUGGGACUCAAAAUUUCGCUGUUAGAGGUGUCUAGAACUCAGGUUUAAGAGAUUUAUUUUAUCUAGUGUUUUCCAUCAGUCUUGAAACUUUUGUUCCUUCAUUCAUACAGGUUCAAAAAGUUGUUUACUGGCUAAUUACACUGGCAGCACCAGGCCAACCACCCUUGAAGAGUUUCAGUCAAAUGGUUUGGGCAAUAUUUGAAAGAGGUAUGAUACUAUAUGUUUCAUAUGCAUAUUGAAAUUACCAGAUUAAAAGUGUAGAAAGAGUUGGAUCAAAUUUUACCUGUUAAUUCACUGGUAUAUGUGCUUUCAGUAUAUUGACUAUCAUUUUAUUAGAACACAAAUGUAUAUUUGUAGCAAUCAUUGUUGUCAUUAUUUAAAUAAAUACAUUGUUUAGCUCUUCCAAUAGAUUAAAUUUAUUGCUCACAAUCUUGAAGAAGGUAAAAGGGAAGCGAAUAACAAAUCGCUGAGAUCAAACCUUAUUUCAAGCUUUAAUAUAUUUGGCUAGAAUAUGGUCGAGCACAAUUCUCUACAAGAUAAAAGCCUCAAGAAAACGUCGAACUUCUCGGUUGAGGACAGUUGUGGCACCUAUAAACAACCAAGUGAAGCGCCGCGCCCAUAUCAGCAUCAGUUUGAUGAUAACUAACUCAUGAAGUAUCAUGAUUAUUAAAAGCCAUUACUUUAUCAGCUAAUUUACAUCAUGCAUACAAUGAUAGAAUGAUCUCUCUCUCUCUCUCUCUCUCUCUCUCUCUCGUGUCUAUAUGUGUCUCACUUCAAAUAAAAUAUCCAUAACUACCUCCUUGAUGUCAUUCCCAUCCCAUGUUUUAAACACAUUCCCUAUCUACUUGGUUUUUGAAACCAAAAGCUGAACUCUACCACUAUGAGAAUCAUUAACCUACCUUUCAAUAAGUUUUUGAACAUCAUUAUUCUUAUAAUAUUGACGACGUAAUUUUUUUUUCUAUCUACCAUUAGUAUCUAAUAAAGAGAAGGUAGAUGUCUAACAUGAAAAGAAAAAACACUGUUUAUACUGAAAAUGUUACCAAGGACUUGUAUUUUUCAACAUCUGCAGUAUAUUGCAUAUUUGCAUGCAGCAGAAGCACCACGGCACAAGAAUGGAUUUUAUGUAUAGAGUUAUACCUGUGGUGGUUCACCUAGUUGUUGUUGAGCUUCAGAGAUUCUGUUGCCCAUGGAAUUCAUCAGUAAGCUCCCGUAUGUUAAGUUAGGCUCAUUUUCCACAGAAUGAAUGAAGCUAUAAGUCAGUGCACCAGCUGAAUCACCCGUGAAAGCCUGCACGUAAUUUUAGGAGAAAUAGCUCUUAAAUUCACACACAUAUAUUUAAGGAGAGAGUUUAGAAAUUAAUGAAUUUCAUUAAUAAAAAAACACAUACAGACAAAAACAUUAGACGAAGGAUGAUUUCGUCAAUCAUCUGCACAAGUUUAGAGGCUAAGAAAUGAUUACUAACCGUAGUAUCUCCAGAGUUUUGAUGGUCAUCACAGGCGCUAAUUGAGAUUGCCAAUCCCCCACUGGUAUCUUUGUAUGCACCAUAUUGAACUCGGUGAUCUUCCCAUACCUGUCCUUGCCUGUUUGAAAACAAUUACACAUGCAUAUUUCAAAUCUUGGCAUAUAUAAUGGUGGGAGAAAUGGCUAUAAAGUACAUAUUUUGAAUCUUUCCGUUGGUACUGGCAAGAGAAAUAUAUAGCUUCAGAGUACUACCUAAUUGUAAGGAACGGCUACUCUUCCCAAGUAUUUAAAAUUCCCACAAUGACAUGACAAAAUUUGAUAAUUUGAUUCUUUAAAAGGAAACCUUAUCUGGGGAAGUCCCAAAAAGGACAAAUGCUGUUAAAUUGGGACGGAGGGAGCACCUUCUUUUAGAAUUUGUUUUCUUAAACAACUGUAAUUAGGUUAGUGAAGAAAUAUUUAACCAGUUCAUCCUGCACACGAAUGGCAGAUCCACCAUAGUUCCACUAAAACAAGUAUCAGUGAUUGCAUGAAGUUUGGCUCCGCGAGGUAGUGGGUGUACAAUAGUGGCAUUAAUCUCAUCAUCUGAAAUCUUUCCGGCAGUCUUGUAGUCAACAGGGCACAGCAAUUCAUAACCGUCCAUUUCAUCCCCACUAAGGUCUUUUGUUCGGGAGGCAUGACCAGAGUAGUAAAACACCAGUGAGUCUCCUGAUUGGCAGCCUUCAACAAGCCAACGCAAUGCCAUUUCAAUGUUAUGCCUAGUUGGGAUCCUGGACAUAUCCGUUUCCACUUCUGCAAAAUUAGAACUUAAACAUUUAAAAUAAUUUUUAGUGGCUGAUGGAUCAAACCACAUUGUAUUGAACUCUCAUUUUUUUUCUUCUAAUGAUUGGCAUGCAUGAUGAUCUCACUAAGCUAUUAGCUCAUUAUAUCAGUUUCUACCAUUUUCAGGUGAUAAUCACGGAGCUGAAUCUGAACUUAGAGGAAGCUUCUGUUAAGUAAGAAAAUCUACUUGGUUAUAGACUUAUCAGAUAUGUUGAACUAUACCAGGUAAAUUUAAUAUUGCUUUAUAGGUCGCUUUAGAUACUACGUCAUCAUGUUUAGUUCGUUGUGGUUAUUGAAUGAUUCCAUGUUAAAAAUUUAUCCGUUGUUAAAAAAUAAUAAUAAUAAAUUUGAUUCAGUUAAGAGUUCAGGCGUGCAUGCGUAUCUGAGAAAGCUUAGAAAAUACCUGUAAGGACAAGAACGGAAGCAUUUGGAAAUCCCAUCACAUUGAGAAGAAAUUUUCUCAUGGAAAUGGCAUCAUUAACACUGCUCUUGAGACUACUUUUCUGGCCGAGAUAGCUCACGCCACAUAUCACUGCUCUCUGCUUCCCAUAAACUGGUGAAGGUGAGACCUGUGGUAAUAUAUUGGUACAUGUAGUGAGACCAAUGUUAAUAUGUGUACGUAGUAAUGCUUGUGCAAGAGUCUAUGCUACCAUUGUAAAAGUUGCUAAUACAUAAGAUGAAUCUCUGGGAUGAAGGUAGAAAAUCUUGUUCAAAGGGAACAUAUGAAUUAGAAAACUAGCUAGGAUUCACUAAUGAUCAAAUUAUAUCAGUGUUAAUUAGUUAAACAACCCGACCUUGUUACGUUAAGGAGCUUAAAAAUGUAAUCAAGUCUGGUUCAUUUAUUUAAUAUGCAUGAGUUAGUGAUACCUGUGGAGCUAAAUGUAAUCAAGUCUGGCUGUGGGGAUGUUGGCCAAGGUUGUAGGUAAUAACCAUUGUACUGGUUUGUUGCAGGAGUUUGCAAAGGUUGUUGGUAAGAAUAAUUAUACUGGUUUGCUCUCGGAGGACUAGAAGGUUGUUGGUAAUAACCAUUAUACUGGUUUGUUGCAGGAGGAGCCGUGUAGGCGCUGUUUCUUUGUGAGACAACGAUUACAGAUCCACAGGCCGGACACUGUAUGGAUUGUGUAUCAACUGGCACCCUCAGUUUUGUGCUGCAGCAGAUGCAUUUCUCUUUUCUAGUUGCCAUAUCUUGGGUGUAAUGUGCCUUUGUUGGAUACUAAAAGGCGAAAUGAAGAGAAUUUCUACAAAGUAAAUAAAGAGAGUUGAUAUUAUGGUGAAUUUCUGGUUUGCACGUUCUUGGGCAUUAUUUGUACACAGUGAUUUAUGUAGUUAUUCCUCUGGGAAUCAAAAUUUGAUUAUUUUUACUUCUCAGCUUUAUUCUAUGAACCAAAGGAUGAGAGUCUGCAGAACCAGAUUCAGUUACACUCUACUCCUUUCGGCGAGAGGCCUUUUGGAGUUGAUGAUUCGAAUGCAUCUUGAAUUGUAACUCCUCAGGCAUUCGGAUAUUUAUUUAUUUAUUUAUAUGAUGAAAUUUGAUUCAUUCUUUCUUUCUUUCUAAUCUUUCAUUCCAGAAUGGCGAUGUCAGAUGGUAAAACAGUGAUUCUAAAUAGCCAUAAGAGUAG